rnacentral:rRNA from 1 species
UACGGAAGGUCCAGGCGUUAUCCGGAUUUAUUGGGUUUAAAGGGAGCGUAGGCCGUUUGGUAAGCGUGUUGUGAAAUGUCGGGGCUCAACCUGGGCAUUGCAGCGCGAACUGCCAGACUUGAGUGCGCAGGAAGUAGGCGGAAUUCGUCGUGUAGCGGUGAAAUGCUUAGAUAUGACGAAGAACUCCGAUUGCGAAGGCAGCCUGCUGUAGCGCAACUGACGCUGAAGCUCGAAAGCGUGGGUAUCGAACAGGAUUAGAAACCCGGGUAGUGACUGACU